rnacentral:tRNA from 1 species
UUAAAAUUAGUUAAUGUAUAACACGAGCUUGUCAAGCCCGAAUAAUCAAAUAUCUGAUAUUUUAAG